AGCUGGUGCAACCCGCGGAUGGCCUCCCAGCUCCGCGCAGCAGCUGUUCCCUCUGGAGGUGAAAACCUUCAUACCUAUGGGCCUCGGUUUCCGAUGGCCCAUUUUU
rnacentral:sRNA from 1 species